UACGAGGGGGGCGAGCGUUGUUCGGAAUUAUUGGGCGUAAAGGGUGCGUAGGUGGCGCGUUAAGUCCGUUGUGAAAGCCCUGGGCUCAACCCAGGAACUGCUUCGGAUACUGGCGCGCUUGAGGCUAGUAGGGGUCACUGGAACUGACGGUGGAGCGGUGAAAUGCGUAGAGAUCCGGAAGAACACCGACGGCGAAGGCAGCGCCCUGGGCGAGACCUGACGCUCAGGCACGAAAGCUGGGGGAGCAAACAGG
rnacentral:rRNA from 1 species